rfam:Schistosoma mansoni, Puerto Rico, WGS project CABG01000000 data, contig: 0172
AUCUAGCUGACGAGUCCCAAAUAGGACUAAACUUGCGUUGUGGAU